UUCCAGCUCCAAUAGCGUAUAUUAAAGUUGUUGCAGUUAAAAAGCUCGUAGUUGAAUUUCGGGAUCAAUUUACUGGUCGUGCUAUCGUACGUACUGGUUUUAUUGAUUCCUACCUUCUGACGAACCAUGAUGUCAUUAAUUUGGUGUCAUGGGGAAUCAGGACUGUUACUUUGAAAAAAUUAGAGUGUUUAAAGCAGGCUCACGCUUGAAUACAUUAGCAUGGAAUAACGAAAUAGGACGUUUGAUUCUAUUUUGUUGGUUUCUAGGAUCGACGUAAUGAUUAAUAGGGAUAGUUGGGGGCAUUAGUAUUCAAUUGUCAGAGGUGAAAUUCUUGGAUUUAUUGAAGACUAACUACUGCGAAAGCAUUUGCCAAGGAUGUUUUCAUUAAUCAAGAACGAAAGUUAGGGGAUCGAAGACGAUCAGAUACCGUCGUAGUCUUAACCAUAAACUAUGCCGACUAGGGAUCGGAUGAUGUUAAUUUUUUAAUGACUCAUUCGGCGCCUUAGGGGA
rnacentral:rRNA from 1 species